GACGAACGCUGGCGGCGUGCUUAACACAUGCAAGUCGAACGGAAAGGCCCUGCUUUUGUGGGGUGCUCGAGUGGCGAACGGGUGAGUAACACGUGAGUAACCUGCCCUUGACUUUGGUAUAACUUCAGGAAACUGGGGCUAAUACCGGAUAGGAGCUCCUGCUGCAUGGUGGGGGUUGGAAAGUUUCGGCGGUUGGGGAUGGACUCGCGGCUUAUCAGCUUGUUGGUGGGGUAGUGGCUUACCAAGGCUUUGACGGGUAGCCGGCCUGAGAGGGUGACCGGCCACAAUGGGACUGAGAUACGGCCCAGACUCCUACGGGAGGCAGCAGUGGGGAAUAUUGCACAAUGGGCGGAAGCCUGAUGCAGCAACGCCGCGUGCGGGAUGACGGCCUUCGGGUUGUAAACCGCUUUCGCCUGUGACGAAGCGUGAGUGACGGUAAUGGGUAAAGAAGCACCGGCUAACUACGUG
rnacentral:rRNA from 1 species